ACUUUGCAAAUCUCAUUAGUAAGGGACGCGCUGUAUGAGUCAAUACAACGCUCAACUGAAGAAGCUUGGAAGAACUAGCUGAAAUAAUCUUCUAUACUGUAUGCUCCUCAACUGCCCUAUCGAAUGUUACUAAGAACUUUUUUCUAUUGAUCAGUUUCCACUGAAGACUUAUUUUGAUUAAUUCACGGUACGUAUGACAAAGCCAUGGACUGAAGAGGAGUUCCAUUAAUUUUUAUGAUGUAUAGGAUUGCCUCGUUCUGUAAUAAAUCUCUACUUAUUUUUGUCUUGGCAAGGAAAGAAUAUUGUUGUUGUAAAUAAACAAAGCUAAGUAAUAUUUCAAAUCCAGUAGACUACGAGGACUGGACUAUAGAUAUCAUGCAAGUGGCUAGCGAAGACUUGAAAAUCUAGUCCAGUCCAAAUUGGAGGAUUUAACUGAAAUGACAUCUCAUAUGAAUAAAUCACUACUUCAAGUCAGGUGAAUUAAUUUUGAUCUAGUCCAAAAGGACUGAAUUAAUUUUGUUCCAGUCCUAGGACUGGAUCAAUGUUCUUUAGUACAGUGCCAAUUUAUAUUUCGAUUCAGUUAUUCCGACCCAGGGUUAUUUAUUGAGCUAGACUAUAUUAAAGGCUGUUUUUAAAUAUAUGGAUUAAGUUGGCAUUGGACAGUCUAAGUCUAUAUGAAUCUUACUUAUGAAAUAACAGAAGAAAUAAAUGUGCAGUAUUUGGAGGCCUUACAUGUGCAAUUUUGGUUCUUGGGUCUGUAUUACGAUUUCAGUUUUCAGUUUUAAAGUUUCAAUUUUAUUUUUAAUUUGCUCAAUAAAUUUGUGUUAUUUUAAUGAAUAUUUUGAGUGCAACGUGGGUGCAUUAAGGUCCAGUUACACGUGCGACUUUCUUCUCGCGCCGGCAACGCAACGCCUUUGCAACGGGUUAAAUUUCAUUGCGUUACUCGCGCGAGUGAAGUGGUGACACGAGCAACUAUUUGCAUGAAAAAACCGGGCACAAACGUCACUGACAACAACAUGGCGCCGAAGAAAGAACUUGUGGUCAUAGCUGCAAAGCUUUUGCUAGAAGAAGAUGACGAGGAGGUUAAAGAAAAGAAACGUAUUUGGAGCCGGUGUCCCAGUUGAUUUGGACCCCCGUAGAUUUGGACCCCCGGUCCAUAUCCACUAGUAGAUUUGGACCCCCCGGUCCAAAUCUACUAGUGGAUAUGGACCCCCGGGGGUCCAAAUCUACUAGUAUAUAUGGACCCCCGUUGGCGGAUAUGGACCCCCCUUCAAAAGUUAAAUAUAUGUAAUGUGAACACAAUAAUAUAAACCAAAUUUAUAAUAGCGAUCAAUCUGAAGUAUUUUAUCACUUUAAAUAUUUGUGAUAAAGGCCACAAAACGUAGAAAUGUAUAGUCUUUGCCAACAACGAAUCUGCUGAUGUCGACCUUUACCGAGAAUUAUGAACAGAUUUUUAUCUAUUCUGGUCAUAUAAACGCCAUAUUAUGUAUAUAAAUGAGUUUUUAGCGUGUUUAUUUAUCCUUUUAUGGUUGUACACAUACUUUCCAUUUGGACCUUUAUUUGUAGUUUAAGAUUUUUGAAUUUGGAUCUCACUGGCAAUAAAAAAACAACGUUUUCUAUUCACAAUAAAUGACUAUGUGUGGUUGAUAAGUAGCUCUGAGUAUCUGAAAACUAAUGAAUUUAACAUAUUCACUGUUAUUGGAGUUGUUUUUAGUAUAUAAAAGUGUUUAAAUAAGGGGAUCCAUAUCCGCUAAAGGGGGUCCAUAUCUACUAGGAGAUUUGGACCGGGGGGUCCAUAUCUACUAGGAGAUUUGGACCGGGGGGUCCAAAUCUACUGGGGGGUCCAAAUCCGCUGUGACACCUGCACUGGCUUCUAGAGAGAAAAAACAAAGGUUAUUUCGGUCAACUUCUUCCCGAUCUGGCUGCCCACGACACAACAGGAUUUGAAAAAUUUAUGCGAAUGGAUUUUGAUCAUUUCAAAAAGAUAGUUGAUAAUCUAUCUGAAACGCUUUACAAGAAAGACACAAUAAUGCGUGAAUCAAUCAAGCCAUGAAGCAGAAAUGUGUUGUUUAACGCUUCGAUAUUUGGCAGCGCUACAGCACGCUGUCCGUACAGAAGCGAAUUUCAUUGGCUAUCUUAAAAUAGCCCAUGCGUUUCCUGCUCAAACAAUGCCUGGGUAAUUCGAUAUUUUCGGCAAUCGUUGCCGAAAGUUCAAGCAUUUCAACUUUCCGCAACGAUUGCCGAGAAUAUCGGGUUGCAAUUGCGUUACCGCGCCAGAUACGUUACACGGGCAAUUUCAUCACUCGCGCGAGUAACGCAAUGAAAUUUAACCCGUUGCGUUGCCGGCGCGAGAAAAAAAUCGCACGUGUAACUGGACCUUUAUUUUGGUACAUUAUAUUUUACUUACGUUUUUGCAAUAUUAUACAAAUUCCUCUUAUACCUGUAUUUUAACCAGAAUUCUUUAUCCUCUCUUUAAAGAUCUGAAUACAAUAUUGAGAAAACUAAAAAUGAACGGCGACGCAAUGGCAUCAAAAUCUACGCCCGAAACCAACCAUAACCCCAACACCAAAUCUUUACAACAAAUCGCUUCAGAAAAAGAAAACACCUUGAAUAAGUUACAUCAACUCGACUCCCUCGCUGAGAACAGAUUCAAACAAAAAGAACUAUGCAAAUACUUCAAAGACACUUUCAAGAAUUGGGAAAGUGAGUUCGCAAAAAUUCCAAGGCAUGGCCAGGGCAUCCCAAACGUUCGAAAGCUAAAGGAAUUAUGCACGAAUAUAAAAAUAGCAAUGGGGCCGAAGGGGGAGUUCGCGCGAAAUCUCGAGGAAAUUUCCAGCGAAAAUGUGGCAGGGUUUCAGAAAUGCAGCACAAGAAUCGAGAAGUUUAAGUCACUGUUAGAUGAUAAAGCACCCUCUCCCGUCACGUUGGAAAAUAUUCGCGAGAUCACGGGCGAGAUUAUUGGCAAUCUUGAAGCACUCUUGGGGAUUUUAUACCAUGAGAAUUGAACAGCCUUUUACUGAAUUAUAGUUGUGUAGUUUUGGAUGAAUAAAAUAUAUGCUAGAAUAAAUAACAAUAUACUCCACGGAAAACUAUUGUUUCAUCAAAUUUGUAAGGUUUUGUACAGAUGAGUACCGGUGCC
rnacentral:lncRNA from 1 species